GACGUACGGGUGCUAUAAUGCAGUCGAACGCUUUUUCUUUCACCGGAGCUUGCUCCACCGAAAGAAAAAGAGUGGCGAACGGGUGAGUAACACGUGGGUAACCUGCCCAUCAGAAGGGGAUAACACUUGGAAACAGGUGCUAAUACCGUAUAACACUAUUUUCCGCAUGGAAGAAAGUUGAAAGGCGCUUUUGCGUCACUGAUGGAUGGACCCGCGGUGCAUUAGCUAGUUGGUGAGGUAACGGCUCACCAAGGCCACGAUGCAUAGCCGACCUGAGAGGGUGAUCGGCCACACUGGGACUGAGACACGGCCCAGACUCCUACGGGAGGCAGCAGUAGGGAAUCUUCGGCAAUGGACGAAAGUCUGACCGAGCAACGCCGCGUGAGUGAAGAAGGUUUUCGGAUCGUAAAACUCUGUUGUUAGAGAAGAACAAGGAUGAGAGUAGAACGUUCAUCCCUUGACGGUAUCUAACCAGAAAGCCACGGCUAACUACGUGCCAGCAGCCGCGGUAAUACGUAGGUGGCAAGCGUUGUCCGGAUUUAUUGGGCGUAAAGCGAGCGCAGGCGGUUUCUUAAGUCUGAUGUGAAAGCCCCCGGCUCA
rnacentral:rRNA from 1 species